UAAACUCUCAUCUAUCUCUUGCGCUGGCCUUCUAUGUCACUCCGGCUCUCUAAAUCUCUCUCACAAUCUGGUUUUUUGUUUGUCGUUGGCUCUCUCUCUCUCCCAGCCUCUUCCUCCAUUCCCGAGUAGAUUAUUCAACACUCUCAGCCUCUUUGUGACAGGCUUGUGUUUGGUUUGUUUAGAACCUACCAGAUACGCUAGGGACCUCCUGCCCAAGUAUUUGAAGCACAAUCCCCUCUCCAGCUUUGUUAGGCAAUUGAACACCUAUGAAAUUCAAGAGAGGGUAUUUCGGUGUAAGCCAUUCCCUUCUAUUUUUCAGUUUGGUUUUUAUUUCUAAAAGAGGAGCUGCAGAUGCCCAUAUCAAAUUCAUAAGAGAAAAAGAAUCAUUUUGCUGGAUAUACU